AUUGAACGCUGGCGGCAGGCCUAACACAUGCAAGUCGAGCGGAGCGGCGGACGGGUGAGUAAUGCCUAGGAAUCUGCCUGGUAGUGGGGGAUAACGUCCGGAAACGGGCGCUAAUACCGCAAACGAACAGAUGAGCCUAGGUCGGAUUAGCUAGUUGGGGGGGUAAAGGCCUACUAAGGCGAAGAUUCGUAAAUGGUCUGAGAGGAUGAUCAGUCAAACUGGAACUGAGAAACGGUCCAGACUCCUCCGGGAGGCAGCGGUGGGGAAUAUUGGACAAUGGGCGAAAGCCUGAUCCAGCCAUGCCGCUUGUGUGAAGAAGGUCUUCGGAUUGUAAAGCACGUUAAGUUGGGAGGCGUUACCAACAGAAUAAGCACCGGCUAACUUCGUGCCAGCAGCCGCGGUAAUUC
rnacentral:rRNA from 1 species